CACCGCGGUUAUACGGAAGGCCCAAGUUGACAAAAUACGGCGUAAAGGGUGGUUAAUAGAUAUUUUAAUAAAGUCGAACAGCUUACAUAGCUGUAAAAAGCUUAUGAAGAUAGGAAGCCCACCUACGAAAGUGACUUUAACACCUAUGAAUCCACGAAAGCUAGGGCA
rnacentral:rRNA from 1 species